rnacentral:rRNA from 1 species
UACGUAGGGGGCAAGCGUUGUCCGGAAUCAUUGGGCGUAAAGCGCGUGUAGGCGGCCCAGUAAGUCCGCUCUGAAAGCCCGGGGCUUAACCCCGGGAGGCGGGUGGAUACUGCUGGGCUCGAGUCCGGAAGAGGCGAGUGGAAUUCCCGGUGUAGCGGUGAAAUGCGCAGAUAUCGGGAGGAACACCGGUGGCGAAGGCGGAUCUCUGGGCCUUACCUGACGCUCAGGCGCGAAAGCUAGGGGAGCGAACAGG